UACGUAGGGGGCAAGCGUUGUCCGGAUUUACUGGGCGUAAAGAGCGUGUAGGCGGCCACGCAGGUCCGUUGUGAAAACUGGAGGCUCAACCUCCAGCUGUCGACGGAAACCGUGUGGCUAGAGUCCGGAAGAGGAGAGUGGAAUUCCUGGUGUAGCGGUGAAAUGCGCAGAUAUCAGGAGGAACACCGGUGGUGUAAACGGCUUUCUGGACCGUAACUGACGCUGAAACACGAAAGCGUGGGGAGCAAACAGG
rnacentral:rRNA from 1 species